rnacentral:rRNA from 1 species
GAUGAACGCUGGCGGCGUGCCUAAUACAUGCAAGUCGAGCGAACGGACGAGGAGCUUGCUUCUCUGAUGUUAGCGGCGGACGGGUGAGUAACACGUGGAUAACCUACCUAUAAGACUGGGAUAACUUCGGGAAACCGUAGCUAAUACCGGAUAAUAUUUUGAACCGCAUGGUUCAAAAGUGAAAGACGGUUUUGCUGUCACUUAUAGAUGGAUCCGCGCUGCAUUAGCUAGUUGGUAAGGUAACGGCUUACCAAGGCAACGAUGCAUAGCCGACCUGAGAGGGUGAUCGGCCACACUGGAACUGAGACACGGUCCAGACUCCUACGGGAGGCAGCAGUAGGGAAUCUUCCGCAAUGGGCGAAAGCCUGACGGAGCAACGCCGCGUGAGUGAUGAAGGUCUUCGGAUCGUAAAACUCUGUUAUUAGGGAAGAACAUAUGUGUAAGUAACUGUGCACAUCUUGACGGUACCUAAUCAGAAAGCCACGGCUAACUACGUG